GCAAUUUAUACGGUGAAACUGCGAAUGGCUCAUUAAAUCAGUUAUCGUUUAUUUGAUAGUGCCUUACUACAUGGAUACCUGUGGUAAUUCUAGAGCUAAUACAUGCUGAAAACCCCGACUUCGGAAGGGGUGUAUUUAUUAGAUAAAAAACCAACGCCCUUCGGGGCUCCUUGGUGAAUCAUAAUAACUUAACGAAUCGCAUGGCCUUGCGCCGGCGAUGGUUCAUUCAAAUUUCUGCCCUAUCAACUUUCGAUGGUAGGAUAGUGGCCUACCAUGGUGGCAACGGGUAACGGGGAAUUAGGGUUCGAUUCCGGAGAGGGAGCCUGAGAAACGGCUACCACAUCCAAGGAAGGCAGCAGGCGCGCAAAUUACCCAAUCCCGAUACGGGGAGGUAGUGACAAUAAAUACUGAUACGGGGCUCUUUUGGGUCUCGUAAUUGGAAUGAGAGCAAUUUAAAUCCCUCACCGAGGAACAAUUGGAGGGCAAGUCUGGUGCCAGCAGCCGCGGUAAUUCCAGCUCCAAUAGCGUAUAUUAAAGUUGUUGCAGUUAAAAAGCUCGUAGUUGAACCUUGGGCCCGGCUGGCCGGUCCGCCUCACCGCGAGUACUGGUCCGGCUGGGCCUUUCCUUCUGGGGAACCUCAUGGCCUUCACUGGCUGUGGGGGGAACCAGGACUUUUACUGUGAAAAAAUUAGAGUGUUCAAAGCAGGCCUUUGCUCGAAUACAUUAGCAUGGAAUAAUAGAAUAGGACGUGCGGUUCUAUUUUGUUGGUUUCUAGGACCGCCGUAAUGAUUAAUAGGGAUAGUCGGGGGCGUCAGUAUUCAGCUGUCAGAGGUGAAAUUCUUGGAUUUGCUGAAGACUAACUACUGCGAAAGCAUUCGCCAAGGAUGUUUUCAUUAAUCAGGGAACGAAAGUUAGGGGAUCGAAGACGAUCAGAUACCGUCGUAGUCUUAACCAUAAACUAUGCCGACUAGGGAUCGGACGGUGUUUCUAUGAUGACCCGUUCGGCACCUUACGAGAAAUCAAAGU
rnacentral:rRNA from 1 species